ACUGUGGGGGUGGGUUUUGAGACUUUCCUCCUAGCCACGUGGAAGUCAGUCUGCUCCUGGCUUUCUCUGGAUGAAGAUGUAGAACUCUCAGCUCCUCCUGGGAGCUACCAUGCUCUCUCCUUGAUGAGAUAAUGGACUGACCCUCUGAAACGAUUUCGUGUCAUGUUGUGAGUGCAACAUGUUCGACAGCUUUCCUGUGGAGGGAAUAUCUUCUACGAUGGGAUCUGCAGUCUAUUGGACAGUGCGGCUCACAACCGGAGCAGCUCUCCGGGUUUCAUUGGUUGUCUCAUAUGCCAAUCAUCUCUGGAUAUACCCCCAAAGACACACUCAGAACUGUGCUGUAUUCACUUGCUAGACAUCUCUCCAUCCAAUCAGGUUGACAGUUAGGACUAAUCGUUCCAGAUAAGUAAUUAAGGACAGUUGUCCUCUUUAGAGGACAUAUAUUCAUUUUCAAGUCUCAUGGCUUUACAAGCCAACAUUGUCUUAGCAUCUCCUUUUCAGAUACAUCUUUCACAGCACCCCAAAAGGAAGGAGCAGAUGCUGUGUGAAGAUCACGCUGUCAUGGAUGUUGUGGAACAAUUUGGCUUUGAUGGAUGUCACUCCCUCACCGCUUCUCCGGGGAGACAACCUGAGACACUGCAGGGACCAAGGGAUCUCUUCUCAGUUGCAUCUUCAAUAUGGAUGUCCUGGCCCAAAGCAGAAACCCUCCCACUGGAUGCUCUGUUUGGGAUGAUUUUUGGAGUAGAUUUUUUUCUCUCUCUCAAAAUUAACUCCACAAUU